rnacentral:rRNA from 1 species
AGGGCACCACCAGGAGUGGAGCCUGCGGCUUAAUUUGACUCAACACGGGAAAACUCACCCGGCCCGGACACUGGAAGGAUUGACAGAUUGGGAGCUCUUUCUUGAUUCAGUGGGUGGUGGUGCAUGGCCGUUCUUAGUUGGUGGAGUGAUUUGUCUGGUUAAUUCCGAUAACGAACGAGACUCUAGCCUACUAAAUAGAUCGUCGGCUUACAAACGCCGGCGAGACUUCUUAGAGGGACAGGCGGUGAUUCAACCGCACGAAACAGAGCAAUAACAGGUCUGUGAUGCCCUUAGAUGUCCGGGGCCGCGCGCGCGCUACACUGAAGUGAUCAGCGUGCUUUUUCAACCUACUCUGUCAAGAGUGGGGAACCCAAUGAACCUUCUUCGUGAUUGGGAUAGGGGAUUGUAAUUAUUCCCCUUGAACGAGGAAUUCCCAGUAAGCGCGAGUCAUAUGCUCGCGUUGAUUACGUCCCUGCCCUUUGUACACACCGCCCGUCGCUACUACCGAUUGAAUGUUUU